rnacentral:tRNA from 1 species
UUAAUUAAAACCAAAAUAGAGGUAUGUCACUGUUAAUGACACUAAUGAAUACUUAAUUUCUAAUUAAA